rnacentral:rRNA from 1 species
UCCCUCAUGAUUUCAUUGGACUACCGGAGUUAUAGGAGCUUAAGUACGGGAAUUUAAUUGCUCCGGUGAUUGUUUUGUACUUUGGUUCUUAUAAUUUGGGCGGUUCCGUGAUAGCUUUCGUCACCCGAAUUGUAAGUCUGGAGAGGCGUCCUCAGUGACGGACCGAGCCCAAGUUCCCUGGAAAGGGACGGCUGGGAGGGUGAGAGCCCCCGCCGGCCGACCCUGUCGCACCAUGAGGCGCCGUCAACGAGUCGGGUUGUUUGGGAAUGCAGCCAAAUCGGGCGGUAACGCGUCCUAGGCUAAAUACAGGCGAGAGACCGAUAGCGAACAAUACCACGAGGGAAAGAUGAAAAGGACUUUGAAAAGAGGGUCAAAGAGUGCUUGAAAUUGUCGGGAGGGAAGCGGAUGGGGGCCUGGCGAUGCGCCUCGGUCGUAUGCGGAACGGCUCCUGCUGGUCCGCCGAUCAGCUCGUGGCGUGGACCGUUGUCGGCCGCGCCGGCGCCCUAAGCCCGGGGGCCCUAGGUGCCUCCGGCAGCCAUCGUCGGCACGGCCGGUCUUCGCACGCCACAAGGCGCGCCCCUUGGGGCGCUGCGCUGCAACGGCUUGCGAGCUCCCCAUCUGACCUGUCUUGAAACACGGACCAAGGAGUCUGACAUGCAUGCGAGUCGACGGGUUCUGAAACCUGGGAUGCACAAGGAAGCUGAUGAGCGGGAGGCCCUCACGGGCCGCACCGCUGGCCGACCUUGAUCUUCUGUGAAGGGUUCGAGUUGGAGCACGCCUAUCGGGACCCGAAAGAUGGUGAACUAUGCCUGAGCGGGGCGAAGCCAGAGGAAACUUGGUGGAGGCUCGAAGCGAUACUGAUGUGCAAAUCGUUCGUCUGACUUAGGUAUAGGGGCGAAAGACUAAUCGAACCAUCUAGUAGCUGGUUCCCUCCGAAGUUUCCCUCAGGAUAGCUGGAGCCCAUUAUGAGUUCUAUCGGGUAAAGCCAAUGAUUAGAGGCAUCAGGGGCACAACGCCUCGACCUAUUCUCAACUUUUAAUAGAAGGACGGCACGGCUGCUCCGGUGAUCCGUGCCACUGAAUCGGGAGCUCCAAGUGGACCAUUUUGGUAAGCAAAACUGGCGAUGCAGGAUAAACCAGAAGCUGGGUUACGGUGCCAAACUGCACACUAACCUAGAACCCACAAAGGGUGUUGGUUGAUUAAGACAGUAGGACGGUGGUCAUGGAAGUCGAAAUCCGCUAAGGAGUGUGUAACAACUCACCUGCCGAAUCAACUAGCCCCGAAAAUGGAUGGCGCUGAAGCACGCGACCCACACCCGGCCAUCUGGGCGAGCCCCAUGCCCUGAUGAGUAGGAAGGCACGGCGACCGCCGCAAAACCCGGGGCGCGAGCCCGGGUGGAGCGGCCGUCGGUGCAGAUCUUGGUGGUAGUAGCAAAUAUUCAAAUGAGAACUUUGAAGGCCGAAGAGGAGAAAGGUUCCAUGUGAAUGGCACUUGCACAUGGGUAAGCUGAUCCUAAGGGACGGGGGUAACCCCGGCAGACAGCGCGAUCUCGUGCGUCCCCCGAAUGGAAUCGGGUUAAGAUUUCCUGAGCCGGGACAUGGCGGUUGACGGCGACGUUAGGAAGUCCGGAGACGCCGGCAGGGGCCUCGGGAAGAGUUAUCUUUUCUGCUUAACGGCCUGCCAACCCUGGAAUCGGUUCAGCCGGAGGUAGGGUCCAACGGUCUGAAGAGCACCGCACGUCGCGCGGUGUCCGGUGCGCCCCAGCGGCCCUUGAAAAUCCGGAGGACUGAGUACCGUCCACGCCCAGUCAUACUCAUAACCGCAUCAGGUCUCCAAGGUGAACAACAUCUGGCCAAUGGAACAAUAUAGGCAAGGGAAGUCAGCAAAACGGAUCUGUAACUUUGGGAAAAGGAUUGGCUUUGAGGGUUGGGCUUAGGGGUCCCAACCCCGAACCGUCGGCUGCCGGCAGACUGCUCGAGUGCUCCCGCGGCGAGAGCGGGCUGCCGCGUGCCGGCCGGGGGACGGACCGGGAACGGUCUCUUCGGGGGGCCUUCCCCGGGCAUCGAACAACCGACUCAGAACUGGUACGGACAAGGGGAAUCCGACUGUUUAAUUAAAACAAAGCAUUGCGAUGGUCCCCACGGAUGCUAACACAAUGUGAUUUCUACCCAGUGCUUUGAAUGUCAAAGUGAAGAAAUUCAACCAAGCGUGGGUAAACAGCGGGAGUAACUAUGACUCUCUUCAGGUAGCCAAAUGCCUCGUCAUCUAAUUAGUGACCCGCAUGAAUGGAUUAACGAGAUUCCCACUGUCCCUGUCUACUAUCCAGCGAAACCACAGCCAAGGGAACGAGACGAAGACUGCCGUCGUGUGUGACAAAGACGUGCUCUAGAAGUUUUAAUUGGUCUUCCAAUAGGUCAUCAAGUGGUACCUGAACAUAUUCUCUAGAGUCAAACUACAACAGCUGAUACAGUGAAGGAAACUCUUAGAGCUGCUAUGAUAACUGCUGCUGGGGAGGAUAAAAAAUGGAAUCUAAAAGCUGUUGCAAAAGCUUGUGAAAAUGCUAAGUCGCAAGAUGACCACAUGCUGCAAGCCUGGUUUUUUAUAGCCGCUAUGUUCGAGUUUGGAUUCUUCGCAAGCUCUUCAUUGUAUCUUCGUGUUAAAACCCUGGAAACUGUGGGGUGUAUAAAUACAUCCCCUCCACCUCUUUUAGUGGUCUGUUGCUCAUUUGUUCAGCUGUGAAACACCUUUGAAGUGCAAUGGAGUGCAAGAGCUCUAGUGAGGGUAGUGAUUUGAGAAUCAAAGCUUGAGAGUCCCUCACUAGUGACUAGGGAGUAGCAAGUGUGCAUCC